UACGGAGGGGGCUAGCGUUGUUCGGAAUUACUGGGCGUAAAGCGCACGUAGGCGGCUUUGUAAGUUAGAGGUGAAAGCCCGGGGCUCAACUCCGGAAUUGCCUUUAAGACUGCAUCGCUAGAAUUGUGGAGAGGUAAGUGGAAUUCCGAGUGUAGAGGUGAAAAUUCGUAGAUAUUCGGAAAGAACACCAGUGGCGAAGGCGACUUUCUGGUCUGUAACUGACGCUGAGGCGCGAAAGCGUGGGGAGCAAACA
rnacentral:rRNA from 1 species